UCGGGAUAACACCUGGAAACAAGAUGCUAAUACUGGAUAACAACAGAUGAUGCCUAUCAACUGUUUAAAAGAUGGUUCUGCUAUCACUCUUGGAUGGACCUGCGGUGCAUUAGCUAGUUGGUAGGGUAACGGCCUACCAAGGCGAUGAUGCAUAGCCGAGUUGAGAGACUGAUCGGCCACAUUUGGGACUGAGACACGGCCCAAACUCCUACGGGGAGGCAGCAGCC
rnacentral:rRNA from 1 species